UACGUAGGGUGCAAGCGUUGUCCGGAAUUAUUGGGCGUAAAGGGCUCGUAGGCGGUCCAUCACGUCGGGAGUGAAAAGCUGGGGCUUAACCCCAGUCCUGCUUCCGAUACGGGUGGACUAGAGGUAGGCAGGGGAGAACGGAAUUCCUGGUGUAGCGGUGAAAUGCGCAGAUAUCAGGAGGAACACCGGUGGCGAAGGCGGCGACCUGGACAGAUAUUGACGCUGAGGUGCGAAAGCGUGGGGAGCAAACAGG
rnacentral:rRNA from 1 species